rnacentral:rRNA from 1 species
CAUGGCUCAGGAUGAACGCUGGCGGCGUGCCUAAUACAUGCAAGUCGAACGCACAGCGAAAGGUGCUUGCACCUUUCAAGUGAGUGGCGAACGGGUGAGUAACACGUGGACAACCUGCCUCAAGGCUGGGGAUAACAUUUGGAAACAGAUGCUAAUACCGAAUAAAACUUAGUGUCGCAUGACACAAAGUUAAAAGGCGCUUCGGCGUCACCUAGAGAUGGAUCCGCGGUGCAUUAGUUAGUUGGUGGGGUAAAAGCCUACCAAGACAAUGAUGCAUAGCCGAGUUGAGAGACUGAUCG